ensembl:lncRNA
GUUGGAAAUGGCAAUAAGGAAGACCCACUUCCAGCACUAAGAAGCCGCAGCUGACAAUCUGGCGGUGAUGGGACACAGUGGACCCAUCAAUUGCCUAUUAGACACGUGCCUGCCAUAUAUUUUAAUGGGAACCGUAUGUGUGCAGUCCAUGAGUACUUACUGCAAAGGAAGUGAAGUGCUGAGUCCCACCACCCACCCACAUCUGCGGCUUCACAAGCCACAAGAAAGUGGAAAACAAACACGCCACUGGCAUACCCGGAAACCAUGGAAGUCUGGCAAAACCAACCAGAAAGGAAAAGAGAAAUGGAGUGUGGAGACUGUGCUGGUGGGAAGCUGGAGCGUUACAAAAGGUCUAAGAAGUUUAACCAUGACUUAAGUAAAUAUUAAAGAACAGAGAAGUUCUCCAAACAGGAGGUAACAGAAUUAUGUUAUUUUAAAAAAAGGAAANNNNNNNNNAAAGUAAGUUUGUGAUAUAUUUAGAUGAAUGUGUAAGAAAUGAGAUUACUUUUCUUUCUACAGCUCUAAAAGGAAGGUAGCCAAAAUGCUCUCUGCUUAAAAGAAAAUCCAUAUGAUUCAUUUCAUGAACACAAGAAGGAUGAGUUCAUUUACAGGCGGCUGGAUGGAUUAUAAGGUCGAUGUUGGUGAACACAUCCAUAACUUAAGUGUGUGAAUUUAUCUUCUGCUGACAAAUAUUUUUUAUUCAAGUGAAUGAAUAUGAUUUCCUGUAACAAAUGUUGCAUAAAGUUUGUGGUCACCAAAAGCUUUACUGUUAAGAGUUACAUUCCUUUGUGAUUAAACCAAAAGGUUAGUUAAGCAGCUGGAUAUUAAAGAGAAGAGCUUUAAUCAUGAUAAUAAGAAACAGAGUUUGUGUAGAUUUAAACUUAGCUAAGACAAUUGCUCCUUCUGGCUAAUUUCUGCAUCAUAGGCUACCCUUGUUCUGUCUCCCUUUUAGGGUUCUACCAGAACGAGACAGAGGCAGGCUACGGGAGGAGGGGAGAGGAGUUUGGGAUAGUUAUUCCCCUCUCUGCCUCCCUGUCCUGUUGCGACAGGUUGAUGGUGUUUGUCUCUGAAAGUCAAGCCUCUUUAUAUGCAACUCUUUGGAUUCCAAUAUCCCUGUUUCCCAUUGUCCCUUCUGAUCUGUAUGUGAUCGUGACUUCCUCUAUUGCUCUAGGUUGCAGUCCUCUGCUCAGAGCUUUGCAUAGUGUCCAUUUCUGAAUCCUCCUGUAUAAUUAGUAUGACUGUGCUGAAUGUUUGCUGUUAGGAACCCCACCAGUGCUAUGCAGUCUAACCUUCUCUUCUGCAUCUUAUUAACCAGGAACUAACCCCUUUUCACUUCUGUUAUUCAGAAAUGCAGUUCACAGCACAAGUUUUUUUUUUUUUUAAUACUUAACAAGUUCUCAAAAAUUGUAGUCCUCAAAUACAAGUAUACCUUACAUUUUCUUCAAAGUCACCCAAAGAAUUUCAAAUUUACUAAUCUCAACAUUCAUAGUUAGAUCCUGUUUUAUAAGUUGCUAAUCAAAGGCCAACCAGUUAUGUUGUGGAUAUGAAGAUCUGCGUGUUUCAUUAUUAUGGUAUGUCCCAAGUUUACUUUUGUAUUUCUUUGGACUGUGGGGAUUGACAUGUUGAUAUUUUCUGGCAAGGAUGUGUCCUUAAGAGAAUACUGAGCAGGUACGAGUGGCAGUGAUUUAUCGUUGUGGCAGUGGUUUAUCAUUUUGUCAUUGAUUGUGAGACCCACAGUCUCAGUGGGGCCUGUCCAGGUCCAUAAGAGGGUGUGUGUGUAUCUGAAUCUCUCUAGGAGAGGGAUGAGUGCCAUGGAUGGCAGUGGAAAGUGACCCUGUCNNNNNNNNNNNNNNNNNNNNNNNNNNNNNNNNNNNNNNNNNNNNNNNNNNNNNNNNNNNNNNNNNNNNNNNNNNNNNNNNNNNNNNNNNNNNNNNNNNNNNNNNNNNNNNNNNNNNNNNNNNNNNNNNNNNNNNNNNNNNNNNNNNNNNNNNNNNNNNNNNNNNNNNNNNNNAGUCAUUCAUUUGUGGCUGCGCUGCGUCUCCAUUGCUGCACGUGGGCUUUCUCUAGCGGAGGUGAGGGGCUACUCUCCAGCUGCAUGGGCAGGCUUCUCACUGCAGAGCCUCCUCUGGUUGCAGAGCGUGGGCUCUCGGGUGUGCAAGCUCAGCUGCUGCAGCACUUGAGCUUAGUUGCCCUGGGGGAUGUGAGAUCUUCCCGGACCAUGGAUUGAACCCGUGUCCCCUGCAUUGGCAGGCGGAUUCUUAAUCACUGGACCACCAGGGCAGUCCAGUUAAGAAUUCUUGAACAUGUGGACAUUUGAAUCUCUGGAGAUUUUUGUCCUGCUCCAGACCCGUCAGCCUAACUGAUGACGAAGUAUUUCUCAACCUGAGAAAAUCCUAGAGCUGGAUGGAAAAUGACCAACUACUAAGGGUGAGCAACCUGACAGCCCAACAUGCAAAUUGUUGAAAAACUUUUGUGAUUUGUAAUCCUUAAGUUUGGCUUUCGUUUGGGGAAAAACUGCUGCCAAUAAAAUUACACUGACUAAACUGUGAUUGGGGUGCAGUCUCCUCCUGACAGGAAACAGAUGUGAGAAGGAUUCUGGAUAGGGUCUUUAAAAAAAAUAUUUAUUUUUGGCUAUGUCAGGUCUUCCUUGUGGUGCACAGGCUCAGUAGUUGCAAUAUGCAGGCUUAGGUGCCCCGAGGCACGUGGGAACUAAGUUCCCUGACCAGGAAUCAAAUCUGCACCCGCAGCACUGGAAGGUGGAUUCUCAACUGCUGGACCACCAGGGAUGUCCAUGGAUAGAACUUUUGACACCUGAUAAGUGUAUACUGCUCAGUGCCAGAAUCUUUUUCUAGGAGCCCUGCCCAGAGAUCCGAGAAGUAAGAAAGGAGACCCAGUUUUCCCAGCCCCAAGGCUGCCUCUAUUCAGAGGCAUCUUACGAAGAUGAUGGUGCCAUGAACAUGAGAAAUUUGGAGCCCCAAGACAAUUUCUUCUGGGUUAAAAAGAAAAAAAAUAAGGGCCACACUGGAAGACAGUUUGGCGGUUUCUUAUAAAACAUACUCUUACCAUAUGAUCUAGCAAUUGUAUUCUUUUGUAUUUAUCCAAAUGAGUUGAAAACUUACGUUCACAGGGAAACCUGCACACAAAUGUUUAUAGCAGAAUUCUACAUAAUUUCCAAAACUUGGAAGCAACCACGAUUCCCUGAGUAAGUGAAUGGAUAAAUAAACUGUGGUACAUCCAGAUAAUGAAAUGUUACUCCACACUAAAGAGAUUUGCUAUCAAGUCAUGGAAAGAUUUAGAAGAACCUCAACUGCAGAUUACCAAGCAAGAAAAGCCAAUCUGGAAAAAGCCUCCAUAUAGAAUGAUUCCAACUAUAUGAUGCGUUUAUGCGUUUAUGAGGCAACACUGUGCAGACAGUAAAAAGAUCCAUGAUCAUCAGGGUUGAGGGCAGGGGUGGGGUUGAGGAGGGAUGGCUAGAUGGAACGUAGAAGAUUUUUAGGGCAGUGAAACCAUUUUGUGUGAUGCUAUCAAUGGGAGAUGUAUGUGAUUAUGCCUCUGUCAAAACUCAUAGAUGAAACAACAGCAAGAUGGAACUGAAAUAAAUCUAUAGACCUCGGAUAGUAA